CCUACGGGUGGCUGCAGUGGGGAAUAUUGCGCAAUGGGCGAAAGCCUGACGCAGCAACGCCGCGUGAAUGAAGAAGUCUUUCGGUUGGUAAACUUCUUUUGUCAGGGACGAAGAUGACGGUACCUGCCGACGAAGCACCGGCUAACUACGUGCCAGCAGCCGCGGUAAUACGUAGGGGGCAAGCGUUGUCCGGAUUCAUUGGGUGUAAAGGGAGCGUAGGCGGUAGGACAAGUCUGGAGUUAAAUCCAGGGGCUUAACCUCUGAACGGCAUUGGAUACUGGUCGUCUUGAGUGCGGGAGAGGUAAACGGAAUUCCUGGUGUAGCGGUGAAAUGCGUAGAUAUUAGGAGGAACACCGGUGGCGAAGGCGGUUUACUGGACUGUAACUGACGCUGAGGCUCGAAAGCGAGGGGAGCAAAUAGGAUUAGAUACCCGAGUAGUC
rnacentral:rRNA from 1 species